UUGGGCACCCGCCCUGAGGCGCCCCGCACUCCCCUCACGGCGCUCCCGCCAUUUUCUCCCGAGGCUUUUGCUGAGCUUCUCCCAAAGGCGAGGGAAGCACCCGAGCCCCCUCAGGCGGGGCUGCUAAAGGAGGGCGGAAAUCACCGCCCAGAAAUCAUUGUUUGGCACCUCCAAGAAGGGUGAAAAGGUCUAUGAGGAGAAAAGGUGUCAAACUUGUUUUGACUACGGGCUGAAAAAGACGUCAUGGGAAGGUAACGCUGCUGCCAAAUCCCGCCCUCGCUCCGGCAGAAAUAGCCGCCCUUUGCCUGAGGUGCCCGGGGGGCUGAGGGGAGCCAGGCUGCCCUGCCAGAGCCGGCCCUGGGCACACCCGGGCUCCCUGGGUAACCACCGAGGCCCCAACAUGCCUGUCCGACAGUGGGGGAUGCCAGGACAUCUGCACAGAAAGACCAACGUGCCAAAAACCCACAGAGAAAAGGGCGGUGAAAGCGCCAUCUUGCUCGGCGACAUGUGGGUUGAACUAUACAGUAUCAGCCACACAACCUUUACAAUCUGCAUAGAUAAAGCAGACUAUUGUGCUGAUGUAAAAGUGGCAAAGGGAGGUUAUGAAAUGGCCCCCAAACUUUUGACUGCACUGCAGAGAUCCUCACCCCAGCAGUUGCAAUAUUAUCAGCCUCAUCCAAGGGCCCUCCCUUCAUAAUGGCAUUCCCCACAGCACAGAGAGCAGGAAAGACGUCCUUGCCCUUGAGCAGCUCCAGCAUGUAAUCCAGUAUAAUUUACAAAAAAGGAGCAAAGAUAGAAACCUGUGCAAGUAAAGGGCUCAGGGACAGCCUCUUCCUUUCUGGUGUCUGCCACGAGGGCAGCAAGCUUUGGCAGAUGGUCAGGGUGGACAGCAGGACAGCCAUGGCUUAUGAGGCUUUAGUGAGGUUUGUCAUUACCUUGAUUUAGUGAGAUGAAUCAAUGCUUGCCUGUCCAAGCCUCCAGUCAAGUAAAACAUGCCAGGCCUUGCAAAGAGCAGAGCCCAGAAUAUCACUCACCUGAAGUCAUCUCUGAGACACUUACCUGCAGGGGAAUAACAGCUGAGCACAACUGGGAUGUUUGUGUCCAACAUCCUUGUACUCUGGAGUCUUCAGAGUGGCUGAGUCAUCAUUUUGCCAGUGUUUCUCUGGUCUAAUAUGGGCAGGAAGGUGACAGAACAGCUCUCCACACCCAUGGAAACACAGCAGCUCCCACCUCCAGCCCACUGUGACAUGAGCCUGCACAAAAAAAUUUAUUGCCAGUUUCCAGAGAUUUCACAUGCCACUGGUGAAUGUCUUAAUUACUUGGAUUUAAUUACCACAGUUCUAGUUGGGUUAUGCUUGUGGCUGGCUUUCAUCCAGACUGUGCAGCUGUCCUGACUGAGGGAGCAGUUGGUCAAUAAAAGGGACUUAACUAGUUAACAGAAAAUAAAAAUACACAGCUGAGAAUGACACACCUACGA